rnacentral:rRNA from 1 species
AUGGUGUGGGGCAUUCAACCGCAAGAUGUAGCAACAGUGAGCUCAUCAUUGUCGGAUGACUACAAAUCCAAGAUAAAUUGCACUACGAUGACGCAUUGCGAUGUGGUGGAGGAACAACCAAGAAGCGAAUGGCUUUGCAUAUAUAGACCAGACAAAAAUAUGGCCAUUAGACUAGUGCUAACAAAUACAGCCAUAAAAAAUAUAUUUUUAUUUAAAGGAUAUCAAUUAAAUGUGGGAGGGUGGAAUAUAGGUAGUGGAAAAUUGAGUUGGGAGUCAGUUGGAGCACGAAGAGAUAUGGAGAUGGGAUUGUUUAGAGACGCCCGAGCAAAAAAUACCACACAAUAUUCCUGCACAAAAGAAUAUGUCGCCUCUAUAAUAAUAUAUCAAUUGGUAAGCUCUGUGUUUGAGGAAAACAAAUAUUCUCCUGCAUAA